rnacentral:lncRNA from 1 species
UGGAAAGCGAGCAUGUGAGGAUCUCCCUGGCAUUCUCAUGCUUUCAUCUCCUCCUAGGGCAAUCCUGGAGGCUACUUCUUGAAGAUGAUGUUAUCACAAGAUGCAGAAGGAGGCUGAAGUCCUGAAUCACUGCUCGAAGGAGAGCUGUCUGUCCUGGAAAAUGAAAAUUCUAUGGCAGUACUGGCUGUGCCUGAGAAACCUCCUGCCACUCAAGCCCAGCAAGGAGUGGGAUUCAAGCAAAGACUUCAUGGAAAACAAACCAAGCUUCCACAGUUCCUAAAAGAUGUAUAGCCAGUCCAAGGGUGAGGAUGGAUGGAGAAGAAUGGACAACCAGUGUUCCAGCCCAAGUGAACAUCAUGGCUCAAGCAGCAUGGAGAAAUAUCAAAAGCCAAGGCUACAGGUACAAGCAUGGGCCAAUUCAUGCAGGACCUUGUAAGCUGCACCAAAGAACUG